AAAAGUAAAGAGAAAAAAGUAAAUGUUAAUUGUUAAUGGUUAGUAUUAGUAGUUAGUGUGCCAUAAGGCAAAUUUAGCGCUAUGUUAAGCAAUCGUAAUUGGACUUAUGUAGAAGUCACAACUAUCUGAGGCCGGUCAAUAAUAAUGUAGGAAACAACACAAGUUAGAAGUCUUGACUAGUGAACCAAGUUCCAACAACUUGCCAUGCCAAAAAGAAAAAGAGAAUUGAUCUUGUAUUGGUUUAAGUCUUCCGCAUAAUUUAGGAAACAACCUAUCCUUAAUACAAAGCCAUUCACUUGAUCAAUUGAUCAAGAUGAAUUAGAUUUGAAUCAAAGAAGGUUAAGUCUCCCUAAUCAAUGCUAACUUAUCAACCUUCAACUCAUUGAUCAAAAAAAAGAAAAAGAAGAAGAAGAAAGAGAUG
rnacentral:lncRNA from 1 species